rnacentral:rRNA from 1 species
UGGCAAGCGUUGUCCGGAUUUACUGGGUGUAAAGGGCGUGUAGGCGGAGCUCCAAGUCAGAUGUUAAAUCUAGGGGCGCAACCCCUAAACUGCAUUUGAAACUGUAGCCCUUGAGUAUCGGAGAGGCAAGCGGAAUUCCUAGUGUAGCGGUGAAAUGCGUAGAUAUUAGGAGGAACACCAGUGGCGAAGGCGGCUUGCUGGACGACAACUGACGCUGAGGCGCGAAAGCGUGGGGAGC